rnacentral:rRNA from 2 species
CAUAACGAACGCUGGCGGCGUGCUUAACACAUGCUAGUCGAACGCGAAAGUUUUCUUCGGAAAAUGAGUAGAGUGGCGCACGGGUGAGUAACGCGUAAGUAAUCUACCCUGGUAUCUGGGAUAACCCACCGAAAGGUGUGCUAAUACCGGAUACGCUGAUUUAUCAGGAAAGGUGGCCUCUUCAUGAAAGCUACCGUACCAGGAGGAGCUUGCGUACCAUUAGCUAGUUGGUAGGGUAAUGGCCUACCAAGGCGACGAUGGUUAGCGGGUCUGAGAGGAUGAUCCGCCACUCUGGAACUGGAACACGGACCAGACUCCUACGGGAGGCAGCAGUGAGGGAUAUUGCGCAAUGGGGGAAACCCUGACGCAGCGACGCCGCGUGGAUGAUGAAGGCCUUCGGGUCGUAAAAUCCUGUCAGAUGGAAAGAAGUGCAUAUGUGCUAAUACCAUGUAUGUUUGACGGUACCAUCAAAGGAAGCACCGGCUAACUCCGUGCCAGCAGCCGCGGUAAUACGGA